CAAAACUCUGGUUGACAUAGAAUCUGUCUGCAGAUGAUCAUUCUCCUUCACAACCAUAUGCCCUUUUGUAAUCUUCAAAACAGAUUUCAUCAUCUUCUUCCUCAUCCUCGUCUUUAACCUUUCCAUACUCACUAUAAUCCUCAGCAUCAGCGACAAUAGGGAUGUCAGCAUCCUCCUCCCCAUCAUGAUCCUCAGCUUCAUC
rnacentral:lncRNA from 1 species